rnacentral:lncRNA from 1 species
AGUUGUAUUCCGAAGACUCAAAGGGUGCGCAAGGAAAUAAUUUAUAAUACAGUUCAACAAUAUCAAAGCUUUAAAGAGCAUGCUAGUAGCACAUUAUGCCCAAAUAGAUCGCAGUUAUAUACAAAAUUAAAAAAGCCAAAUAAAGUCGAUGUACAAGCUCGAAUUCUUGAAUGUCCCCAGUAGAGUCGUCAGAGCUGUCACACCGUUAUGACUUGUGGGCUAAAGAGUUUUUCUAAUUAAUGUAACAAAGCUUGAGUAUGGAUUAUUUUUUUGUUUCGAGCUGCCACUUGAAAUUGAUUUUUGGGUGUUUCAAGUCACCUUUUGAUGGGAUCCCUAGUCAAAGGAAGGUUUGACACUAUUAUUACUGGUCUGCAAAAAUAAUAUUCGGGUAAGGAAUUCUGUUGACCAAAUAAAUGUAAGGCAUUUUCCGAGUCCCGUGGUUCUAGCGCUGUCGCUUUUAUUAACUAAAAUUAGUUUGAAUUAAUUUUGGACAAACUGUAGUUUAUUGAAUUUCCAUGUUUUACCUAUCCGCUUUUAUUUAUUAAAAUUGUUAAAGAAUGAUAUGAAUAAUACGAAAUUGUCCUAACCGCACCACACAAGCCAAUGUGUGACUAAGACGAGCUUUAUUAAUUUUGUUGUAAAUGUGCUACGCAAGCAAAUCCGCAGUUAUGAAAAAAGAUUAUUAGCACGCUAUUAUUUUCAAAAAAUUACUAUAUUGUUUUGAGAAAAAUUUAUUUUUUUUGAAAAUUAUUAAAUGUUACUACCACACUACGCAAGCGAAGCCGCGAUUAUGGCAAAAGGAUUAGAAAUUAAUUAAAGCUAUUGAAUAUUACAUGAUAUUAUUGAGUAAGUUUAUUGAAGGUCACCAAGCUACGCCAGCAAGUCCGUCAAUAAAAAAAUAAAGCAAAACCUUCUAGUUGCCAAGUGUUUAAUUAAUUAAUUCGAAGGAAAAGAGUUAAUUCAAUAAUUAAAAAAAUCUGAUUUUUAUUAUUAUUUAGAAAAACAUUAUGCAAAUAGAAAUGUUGGACCAACUCCAUCUAUUCUUAACGAAAUGGGCCAAUUUCUUGCUAAAGGAGAAAUGGGUCAGGUUAUGAGUUUUUAGAGUAGUUAGUUGCUGUAAUUUAUUAUAAAAAAUGGGCUAGCUAGCUUAAUAGUCAUUGGGUAUGAUAGCUUAAUAGACAUUGGGCCUGCAGAAAUUAAGCUUUCGGCCCGUAUCUUAUUCUUUAGAUAAUCCCCAUGACCCACCGGAUUCGCAUAAAAUGACAAUGGUCCAAAAUAAUUGUUUCUCACUUUAUUUAUUACCAAGGAUCACUAAUAAUAAAGAAGUAAAGUCAUUGUUAAGGCUCAAAAUUCCCAAAUCACUCAAAGAAGAUUAACAGAUCAUGGUCCAUGCUUAAACCAACAUUUAACAUACAAAUUUAAGAUAAAAUGACGUAAGCACAUAACAAGGCAAUUAAAUUAAAGUCAGCACCUUUAUCAUGAAUAAAUUGCAUUCGAACUCAAAACUAGGGGGUGCAUUCGAAUCGGCUUAUCGAUAAAUCGAAUCGAUUAUUUGUUAUCGAAAUCGAAAAAAUCGAAACCUUAUUAAAAUGAUAACAAUAAGCAUAUGUACAAAUUGAUAAUCGAUAAGUAAUUAUCGAUACGGGUCAAAAUCGAAUCGAUAAAUUGAAUGCACACCCCUAGACUAUAGACACUUGUAAAAUGAGUAAUUACCUAUUUGUAUAGAUUAAUAUAACAUACAUAAUGUAUAUAUAUAUUCCGCUACUAUUUUGAAAGCGAAUUUGAACUUCAUUUCCUUGAUCUUUAUCAUUCCUUAUAUGUGGUAGAGGAAAUAGUAGGGUAAGAGACUUAGGGUAAAGGAAAGGGUAUAGAUUAGGGAAAAUGAUAUUGUAUAGCCGCUUUCAAAAUAGUAGCGGAAUAUAUAUACAUUUUAUAUGUUAUAUUAAUCUACACAAAUAGGUAAUUACUAUUUUACAAAUGUCUACGGUCAAAACUGGCACUGUUUGAGAAACCUAACGUGCUCUCUUUUAUUACUAAGACUGAAAGCUUAAAACAAAAUUACUUCCAGUUAACUCACUCCUUAUCACAAGUCAAAAGUUCCAGUAUAAGAGAAACACCAAAUACUACAUCAAGUGACCAACGAACAAACUGCUUCUAGCUUAACCUUAAGAAAUUAUCUUAAGGUUAAGAAAUUGAUAUUUUCUAUAAUAAUUUCCUAACAAAUCUAAACUUAACUAACGUGAUUCUCGCAUCAAAAUUUGUAGGUUCAGUAAAGAGGAUAUUCUAUUAACUUUCUUCUCAUGACUUAACCAAAAACAAUUCCUAAUAACUUUUAAACAGAGGACUCGUUCGGCUUUAAAAUACAUCAAAAUAGAGCCUUAGAUCUUGAACAAAUUAAUAUUAACAGGUUCUCUUAUAUUAAUACAUGCAUGACAGUUCAUAUAUUAAACUUUCAAAAAGCAAACAGAUAAAUGCCCUACACUCAACUACUCUCUAUCCUUAUCAACAAAUAGCUGAAUUCAAAACUCAAACUUUCAAACUUAUCAAACUAUGGAUUGAUACAGCAGAAAUAAGGCUUAAAAGGUAACCGAACUAAGUAUUCAAACAAACUAGAUUCAAAUCAAUUUGAUUUGUGCAAACUAACAUGAAGCGGUUGAGAUUACAAACAAUCAUUCAAAAAAGAAAUUAAACGAACAUCGAUAAACUAUCAUGAUUAAUAACAACUAAAUAUAUGACUAACUAUAUAAACAAUUCAACUAAUCUUUUUAAUUUUACAUGAACUUAACAUAGAGACUUAACUAUCGGCCGGCUUGGUCGAAGAACUAAAAAUUCUAACUUAACAUAUCUAUACAAAAUAAUCGACCGAUUAGGUUGAAGAACAAAAAAUCAGAACUAGCAGAUCAUAAUGAACUACUCAACCGACUAGGUUAAAGAGCUGAAAGGCAAAUUUAUAAAUUGACAUGUAAUUAAAAACCAAUACUACAGUAGCUUAAUUGCACACAAAUAACAGCAACGUGAAUGGAAUUUAAACCUUAAAACUAAUAUUAAUUACAAAUGUAAAAAACAAAAAAGAUAAAAAGGAAGAAAGGGUUAUACCAAUCGAGGGAACGUGAAACUAUCCAUAAAUCUCAAGGACGUCGCAUGCAACGACAAAUAAUGAUGGGUGACCUUCGAAUGAACUUUUCUAGGUGGCAGGUGUUAGGACCUCCGGGGGACUCAACUAGUGAUUUCAACACCAUGUCUCCUAGAAAGGAUCGUUACUUGGCCUUAUCUAAGCAAAAUAGAAGCUCUACGUGGUUGGUUAUGGUUGGACGGCAGUAAGGGCUGGUAUAUUCGAUCGGAUUUCUAAGGGGUUUGAAGGUUGUAGGACAUGAAAUAGAGAAGGGGAGAGUGAAAGGAGGCCAGUGGUAUGAUUUUUAUGAGUUUUGGAGUGGUAGACGGCGGGUAGGGUUUUCAUUUUCUUAGAUUUAUGUAGAUUGGUGAGGAAUUAACAGAUUUGGGGUUUGGAUUCCUAGAGAGGAGGUCGAGAGGAAAAAAGGGUGAAAUUUUGGGUGGUUUCGAGGUUGUCCGCUGCCUGUGGGCGAUUUCCGGCAGCGGCAGGCGGCAGUAAUAGAGGAUCUGGGAAAGAGGCAAGAGAGAGGACGAAGAUGGGAAAUUAAAGGGGAAAUGGGG